UCUUGUCGAGGGCUGUGAAUGAGCUGCGAGGUCUCAAGUUGCGCUGGCUGUUCGAUGACAAAUCCAUUGCUGAGGGGGUGUCCGGACUGCCAAAAAAAAGCCCCCAUUUGCAAAAUGCCAUCGACCCACGGGCUUCCCUGAGCGAAAGCAGCCAGUUUGCAAUCGAGGUACUCUAGGUGUCCAGCAUAGCAGGAGGAAUACUUCUGACCAGGUGUGGAUGUCCAGAUUCCAAUCAUAACAUUCAGGAUGAGCAAUGAUACACUGACAUCACAACAAUGAAGAAAUAAAGAAAACUCAGGUGUUCAUUUCCCAUAUCAGAUGUGGAUACAGCAAAAUGCAAUCCUGAAAUCAAAGUAUUUUUGAAAUGAUUCCUCCCCAUCCUUAAUAUUGUUGUGACUUUGAGCCAUCAUCCAUCACCCCUGGAUUUAAACAUGAAAUUUGAAAACUUCAGAAUAAAAAUGAACAGAAAAUCAUUGAAACGCACAGUCAGCACCUGGAUUAGAAAGAGAAGUUAAUUGUUGGCAGGAUUUCCACCGUUCGCUGUUUUCUUUACUCAAUUACUUUUAAGCUUUUGGAGAUCAAUAAAUGGAUCCAAUCACUCUCAAGCUGAAAGAACAUGUCUGUCCAGAGCCAAAGCAUUUUACAGGAUGGAAACAAGUCAGUAAGGCUUCAUGCAUUUGUAUUCUACACAUGUGCAGGAGUGUGUUACGUACAAGGUGAAAUACAAAUAAACUGUUUCAAACUUGUAUUGAAAAUGUCCCGAGAAGACCUUAUAGGUUCCUCCAAAUUCGAUCAUAUAUCGUGGGAAGGACAUCUAUUGUCAGGGACCCUCUGGCUGCACAAGGUUGGUAUUCUUUCUAUCCCAUACAAGGACAUGCACAUUAGGAAGCUCCCACGAGGAUCAUCCUCUUGUGUGUGGCAGUUAGCAGCUGGUCAAGUCUAAAUCCAAACUGGGCAGGUGCAUCACAGUGCUGUCUGUUGUUUGGUGGAUUACCUUGAAUCCUGCAACAAAUGUUUAUCAGCUACAUUGAAUUCGUUCACAUUGUGGUGAGCAAGCUAAUCCAGAUGAUCAGCACUCAAUGCUGAGCUGCCCUUGCAAUGCCGUUAGUGAAGGAACAUGUGAUAUCCUUGCAUCAUAAGUGGUGGUCCUUUUGGGUGCAGGCCACACUUUUCAAGCAAUAUUGAACCCUGGAGGCUUCUCUGUUGCCUCAAUUACUGGAAAGUUCAUUGGCAAAGUUGGUGUCAGCCCAAAGGUUUCACCUUUUUUGUCAAAGUCUUCUUCACUCAAAAUGUUCACAGAGCUUCAGAAAGCUUUGCAUUGUUUGAGUCACAUAUUCCAUAGCUUAGAAUAGAAUCCCUACAGUGUGGAAGUAGGCCAUUCAGCAAAUUGCGUCUGCACAAACUGUCCAAAGAGCAUCACACCCAGACACACCUCACCCCUAUAACCCUGCAUUUCCCAUGGCUAAUCCACCUAGCCUGUACAUCCCUAGACACCAUGAGCAAUUUAACAUGGACAAUCCACCUAAAGUGCACAUCCUUGGACUGUGCGAGGAAACCCACACAGAUGCAGGGAAAAUGUGCAAACUCCACAGUCCCCCAUGGGUGGAAUUGAACCUGGGUCCCUGGUGCUGUGAAGCAGCAGUGCUGACCACUGAGCCACCAUGUCACCCUAAUUCUGAAGGUCUUCAUGGGUUGAUAGUUCUGAGUUGACUUUAAUGCUGUAAAACUUUUUCUGUGUUUUUACUUUUUAAUGGAAGUCUGGAACUGAGAGCCAUUUCAUAGGAAUGGAAGGUGAUUCAGCCUGUUUUUUGCUAAUAUCAACACUUCAAUAUACACAGCUCAACUAUCUGAGAAGGUGGGUGUUCUCUCUACACCAGAGCUCCUGUAGAUUCAGCACAGGCUAGAUAUGUUUACAAUGGUUGAGAAAUUGAAUUCUGACCUCAGACAUGGACAAAUGAGCCCUAGUGGGGGAUAGCCUGCAGUGAGGUGUUGAGAUGGGUUGUUAUUUGUGGCCAGGCAUGGACUUAGGCAUAGAGAAGAGAAAGGAUUCUAAAGGAGGGGCAAUGAACCAGUACUUUAUAUUUGAGAUAAUGGGAACUGCAGAUGCUGGAGAAUCCGAGAUAACAAAGUGUGAGGCUGGAUGAACACAGCAGGCCAAGCAGCAUCAGAGGAGCACAAAGUACUUUUUAUUUCAUUUGAUUUCAUAAGAGGCCUGAGCAUCUUGUUGAUAGCAGGUAGAUUUUCUGACUGUUUGACUCAGGUAAAUACUGGGGAUUAUACUUCCAAGACAUAGCCAGAUGUAGUGAUGAAAGGCACAAUGACGUGAAAUCCCUUUGCAACCCCCAGGAUUGCAUUCUACUGAGAUUUAGAGUGUCAACACUUUUUGGCCUUUAUCACCCAAUAAAACUAAUUAUAUCUCACAGGGACAAAUACCUCUCCAAUCAGCCAUCAUACCAUUUAAAAACUAAAGAGACAUGAUCAACUGAAAGGCCGACUCCUCUCCCCACCCCAACCCAAACCGCUCCGAUGUUUCCAUUUACAGUCUUAUAAUUGCAAUCACACAGUUCAUUUCUCUUGGGGUUUGCUUUGGAUUCUUUUGCCCUAAAGUCUUCUUGCUAAGGACUCAUACGUGUAAAAUAACUUACAUCUUGGAAUUAAGAAGCUGGAACAAAUUGAUUGGUUCAAUAAAGUCAUAAAAAUGAUUGUUGUUUAACACUCACUGA